UACGGAGGAUGCGAGCGUUAUCCGGAUUUAUUGGGUUUAAAGGGUGCGCAGGCGGCGGAACAAGUCAGCGGUCAAAAUUCGGGGCUCAACCCCGUCUCGCCGUUGAAACUGUUCAGCUGGAGUUCGUGCGAGGAUGGCGGAAUGCGCGGUGUAGCGGUGAAAUGCAUAGAUAUCGCGCAGAACCCCGAUUGCGAAGGCAGCUGUCCAGCACGCGACUGACGCUCAUGCACGAAAGCGUGGGUAUCGAACA
rnacentral:rRNA from 1 species